ACAGUCACACACGCUGACCUCUAAGGUGGUCACUUGGUCUUUAUUCUGGUUAUCCAUGAGCUUGAGAUUGAUUUUGUAGUCACCCACCUCUAAGGCCAUCUUUGGCUUCAAAAUGAUAGAUUCUUGGGCUGGAGAAAGCAAUAAAAAGAAAUGAUGAGACCAGGGGGGGAAAAUAAAAAGCUCAUUCCAGAAUAAAAUUGCUAGUGAACUAAAGACACCCGCAAGCCGAGUGAAGAGAGCAGAGCUGCUUGGGUUUUAUUUAGGAGGCACAAAGAUGGGGGCUUCAUUCACAUCCAGCACAUCCACGGUGACGGUGGCUGUGGAGGUGGUGAGAGAGACCUCAAAAGACAGAGUCUCACUCUGUUGCCCAGGCCAGGGUGCAGUAGCACGAUCUUGGCUCACUACAACCUCUGUCUUCCAGGCUCAAGCGAUUCUCCUGCUUCAGCCUCCCAAGCAGCCGGGAUUACAAGUGUGCACCACCACGCCCAGUUAAUUUUUGUAUUUUUGGUAGAGACAGGUUUUCACCAUGUUGGCCAGGCUGGUCCCAAACUCCCGACCUCAG
rnacentral:antisense_RNA from 1 species